rnacentral:rRNA from 1 species
GAUGAACGCUAGCGGCAGGCUUAACACAUGCGAGUCGAGGGGCAGCGCGGGAUAGCAAUAUCCUGGCGGCGACCGGCGGAAGGGUGCGUAACGCGUGAGCGACAUGCCCGUUGCCCGGGGACAACCGGUGGAAACGCCGACUAAUCCCCGAUGGGAUAUUGUGCCGCAUGGCACGAUAUUGAAAGUUACGGCGGCGACGGAUUGGCUCGCGUCCGAUUAGCUGGUUGGCGGGGUAACGGCCCACCAAGGCUGCGAUCGGUAGGGGUUCUGAGAGGAAGGCCCCCCACAAUGGGACUGAGACACGGCCCAUACUCCUACGGGAGGCAGCAGUGAGGAAUAUUGGUCAAUGGGCGGAGGCCUGAACCAGCCAUGCCGCGUGCGGGAAGGAGGCCCUAUGGGCUGUGAACCGCUUUUGCCUGGGGGCAAUAAGGGCGUCGCGCACGUCCGAUGAGAGUACCAGGCGAAUAAGCAUCGGCUAACUCCGUG